AACUCAGGUCAGAAAGCAG
rnacentral:misc_RNA from 1 species